GCCUUGGCCGCCGGGACCGCCGGGAAAGGGCCGCCCCCUCCCCCGGCAGCGCGGCCCCGCGCUUCCCUCGCCUCUCUCGCGUCCCUCGCCCGGGCGAGCGGCGGGGCCCGUCGGCUGAGCAGUAAAACCCGGCGCUGCUGAGGUGAAACCGCACUCAGGCUGAGCACACAAGACUGGACAUUACUAAAAUUAAGACCUCAACAACACCAACAUCUUCUGUCCUGCCUGUCACAGUCCCCGUGCCUGUUUACACAUCCCAGUACAAAUGCUUUUGAAUCAGUCUGAUGUAUUCACAAUCUUGCUGACCUGUUUUACCCCCGCAUCCAUUUCUGCUGACCUCCCAAGCCAGGUAUUUUUCCCUCAAGUAGACUAAUGCUGCUUGAGAAAUUAUUUCCUGCCAACAGCCCUAAUGCCAUGCCUUCAUUUUUAUUUUAUAAUCAAGCAGUCAAGACAUCUUUUAAAAUGAAAUUCCACAUGAUGUUAAGUCAGAGAACUGUAGAAUUUGUCAUCCUCUGUAAAUCGAUUGCACUUCUCAGAAGAAUUGUAUUUAAAAAAGCAAAACUAAGAUUGAACUGUGCCACAAUUACAGAGGGGUUGUGUAACUCUAAAUUUAGAAGAGUGACUUGUAUGUAUUUGUAGAUAUUUAAAUCUUUAAAUUUGCUUAAACUAAAGCAACUAAAAUAAUCUAAAUGCAAACAAAGGUGAAUAACAAAGAAUCUGGGUCGGAGUUACACGAAUAUAAGGUAAAAUAUGGCAAAAAAUGCCCCCAUCAGUGAGGGACAGAACUUGUGUUUGUAUAUGUUUUGCUGUUCCAUGUGCUUAAUUCCUUUAGCUCAGAAUUCCUCAGUUCUGUUCACUUCCUGUGCGCAGCUUUUGAUGUGAACAGUGCAAUGAGCAGCUCAUGAAGUUACUGGCAGCACAAUCUGCAGAAGGGAUGUUCUAGCACAGCCUGAUGGCUGCACUGGCACUUUAGGUGCAGUUGAGCAAGUCAUUCUACAUGAUUCUACUUCAGUUUUCCUAAUAUGAGAUGAAUCCAUCUUUGUAAAACACCAAAAAUCUAAAACUGAAGACUGUGAUGUGGGUAUCUAUUAAAAUAACUGCCACAGAAGGGAUAAAAAUCAACAGUGCUGUCCAAGUCCACUGUCCAGUGUAAAGAGAUGUUUUUACUCUUCAUUCUGACUUUGUGUAAUAGCUACAGAAUUAGGUCUUCAGUACCAGCUGAACAAGCUGGUAAAUAAUGCAUUCAGCUAAUUCAUUUCUUAGAUGGUCAUCAUAUUGUCUGUCUGGUCCAUUUUGGCUGUGCAAAGCAUUUUUAUGAUGUGUUUUAUAUCAGGUAAUGUUUGGACAGUAACAAUUCAAGAAAAAAUACAGGCUUUUUCAGGAAAUAAACAGAAAUCUUACCUUUUCUUUAUCAUCUGGCCAUCAGAUUUUACGCAGUAGGCUUCCCAUUUAUCUCUUGCUCGCUUUCUUGUUUGUACUUUAAUCUGUGAUGUCCUCAUCUGUGAUGAGAUUUCAGAGCACAACAUAAGAUAUGAAUGUAAAAGUGCUGAUGUUUCAAAGGGGUACUGUUACUUGUCCUUCUCCUAUUCUCUGUUUAGCCUGUAUUUUGAAAAAAUUGCUACUUUGAAAAUGGUUAUGUGAAUCCCAAGGAGAGAUGGAGAAGAACUGAGUAUUCCAGGUGUUUUACAUAGAUGUAUAUCUGUAGUUGUUUAUGUAUGUAUUUGUAUAAAUACAUGUAAUACAAAUUUGCAAGAAUAAAAUUUAACUUUCCUCAGAUAAAAGUUCA